UACGUAGGGUGCAAGCGUUGUCCGGAAUUAUUGGGCGUAAAGAGCUCGUAGGCGGUCUGUCGCGUCGGCUGUGAAAUCCCGAGGCUCAACCUCGGGUCUGCAGUCGAUACGGGCAAACUAGAGUAUUGCAGGGGAGACUGGAAUUCCUGGUGUGGCGGUGAAAUGCGCAGAUAUCAGGAGGAACACCGGUGGCGAAGGCGGGUCUCUGGGCAAUAACUGACGCUGAGGAGCGAAAGCGUGGGGAGCGAACAGG
rnacentral:rRNA from 1 species